rnacentral:rRNA from 1 species
AUUGAACGCUGGCGGCAUGCCUUACACAUGCAAGUCGAACGGCAGCACGGGAGCAAUCCUGGUGGCGAGUGGCGAACGGGUGAGUAAUAUAUCGGAACGUGCCCAGUCGUGGGGGAUAACGUAGCGAAAGCUACGCUAAUACCGCAUACGAUCUAUGGAUGAAAGCGGGGGAUCGCAAGACCUCGCGCGAUUGGAGCGGCCGAUAUCAGAUUAGGUAGUUGGUGAGGUAAAGGCUCACCAAGCCGACGAUCUGUAGCUGGUCUGAGAGGACGACCAGCCACACUGGGACUGAGACACGGCCCAGACUCCUACGGGAGGCAGCAGUGAGGAAUAUUGGACAAUGGGCGCAAGCCUGAUCCAGCCAUGCCGCGUGCAGGAAUAAAGGUCCUAUGGAUUGUAAACUGCUUUUAUACAGGAAGAAACACACCCUCGUGAGGGUACUUGACGGUACUGUAUGAAUAAGGACCGGC